rnacentral:rRNA from 1 species
CCUACGGGCGGCAGCAGUAGGGAAUUUUCCACAAUGGACGAAAGUCUGAUGGAGCAACGCCGCGUGAGUGAAGAAGGUUUUCGGCUCGUAAAGCUCUGUUGGUAGUGAAGAAAGAUAGAGGUAGUAACUGUCCUUUCUUUGACGGUACUUACUUAGAAAGUCACGGCUAACUACGUGCCAGUAGCCGCGGUAAUACGUAGGUGGCAAGCGUUGUCCGGAUUUAUUGGGCGUAAAGGGAGUGCAGGCGGUUCAAUAAGUCUGAUGUGAAAGCCUUCGGCUCAACCGGAGAAUUGCAUCAGAAACUGUUGGACUUGAGUGCAGAAGAGGAGAGUGGAACUCCAUGUGUAGCGGUGGAAUGCGUAGAUAUAUGGAAGAACACCAGUGGCGAAGGCGGCUCUCUGGUCUGCAACUGACGCUGAGGCUCGAAAGCAUGGGUAGCGAACAGGAUUAGAUACCCGGGUAGUC